GAGAACCUAGUAAAACUUAUUACAUGGCCCUGUCACGGCCAAAUCACAGAUACUGUGGUACUCA
rnacentral:tRNA from 1 species